UUAAGUUAGAAAGGGCGCACGGUGGAUGCCUUGACACUAGGAGUCGAUGAAGGACGGGACUAACGCCGAUAUGCUUCGGGGAGCUGUAAGUAAGCUUUGAUCCGAAGAUUUCCGAAUGGGGAAACCCACCAUACGUAAUGGUAUGGUAUCCUUAUCUGAAUACAUAGGGUAAGGAAGACAGACCCAGGGAACUGAAACAUCUAAGUACCUGGAGGAAGAGAAAGCAAAUGCGAUUUCCUGAGUAGCGGCGAGCGAAACGGAACAUAGCCCAAACCAAGAGGCUUGCCUCUUGGGGUUGUAGGACAUUCUAUACGGAGUUACAAAGGAACGAGGUAGACGAAGCGACCUGGAAAGGUCCGUCGUAGAGGGUAACAACCCCGUAGUCGAAACUUCGUUCUCUCUUGAAUGUAUCCUGAGUACGGCGGAACACGUGAAAUUCCGUCGGAAUCUGGGAGGACCAUCUCCCAAGGCUAAAUACUCCCUAGUGAUCGAUAGUGAACCAGUACCGUGAGGGAAAGGUGAAAAGCACCCCGGAAGGGGAGUGAAAGAGAUCCUGAAACCGUGUGCCUACAAAUAGUCAGAGCCCGUUAACGGGUGAUGGCGUGCCUUUUGUAGAAUGAACCGGCGAGUUACGAUCCCGUGCGAGGUUAAGCUGAAGAGGCGGAGCCGCAGCGAAAGCGAGUCUGAAUAGGGCGUUUAGUACGUGGUCGUAGACCCGAAACCAGGUGAUCUACCCAUGUCCAGGGUGAAGUUCAGGUAACACUGAAUGGAGGCCCGAGCCCACGCACGUUGAAAAGUGCGGGGAUGAGGUGUGGGUAGCGGAGAAAUUCCAAUCGAACCUGGAGAUAGCUGGUUCUCCCCGAAAUAGCUUUAGGGCUAGCCUUAAGUGUAAGAGUCUUGGAGGUAGAGCACUGAUUGGACUAGGGGUCCUCAUCGGAUUACCGAAUUCAGUCAAACUCCGAAUGCCAAUGACUUAUCCUUAGGAGUCAGACUGCGAGUGAUAAGAUCCGUAGUCAAAAGGGAAACAGCCCAGACCGCCAGCUAAGGUCCCAAAGUGUGUAUUAAGUGGAAAAGGAUGUGGAGUUGCUUAGACAACUAGGAUGUUGGCUUAGAAGCAGCCACCAUUUAAAGAGUGCGUAAUAGCUCACUAGUCGAGUGACUCUGCGCCGAAAAUGUACCGGGGCUAAAUACACCACCGAAGCUGCGGAUUGAUACCGAAUGGUAUCAGUGGUAGGGGAGCGUUCUAAGGACAGUGAAGUCAGACCGUAAGGACUGGUGGAGUGCUUAGAAGUGAGAAUGCCGGUAUGAGUAGCGAAAGACGGGUGAGAAUCCCGUCCACCGAAUGCCUAAGGUUUCCUGAGGAAGGCUCGUCCGCUCAGGGUUAGUCAGGACCUAAGCCGAGGCCGACAGGCGUAGGCGAUGGACAACAGGUUGAUAUUCCUGUACCACCUCUUUAUCGUUUGAGCAAUGGAGGGACGCAGAAGGAUAGAAGAAGCGUGCGAUUGGUUGUGCACGUCCAAGCAGUUAGGCUGAUAAGUAGGCAAAUCCGCUUAUCAUAAAGGCUGAGCUGUGAUGGGGAAGCUCCUUAUGGAGCGAAGUCUUUGAUUCCCCGCUGCCAAGAAAAGCUUCUAGCGAGAUAAAAGGUGCCUGUACCGCAAACCGACACAGGUAGGCGAGGAGAGAAUCCUAAGGUGUGCGAGAGAACUCUGGUUAAGGAACUCGGCAAAAUGACCCCGUAACUUCGGGAGAAGGGGUGCUUUCUUAACGGAAAGCCGCAGUGAAUAGGCCCAAGCGACUGUUUAGCAAAAACACAGCUCUCUGCGAAGCCGUAAGGCGAAGUAUAGGGGGUGACACCUGCCCGGUGCUGGAAGGUUAAGGAGAGGGGUUAGCGUAAGCGAAGCUCUGAACUGAAGCCCCAGUAAACGGCGGCCGUAACUAUAACGGUCCUAAGGUAGCGAAAUUCCUUGUCGGGUAAGUUCCGACCCGCACGAAAGGUGUAACGAUUUGGGCACUGUCUCAACCAGAGACUCGGUGAAAUUAUAGUACCUGUGAAGAUGCAGGUUACCCGCGACAGGACGGAAAGACCCCGUGGAGCUUUACUGUAGCCUGAUAUUGAAUUUUGGUACAGUUUGUACAGGAUAGGCGGGAGCCAUUGAAACCGGAGCGCUAGCUUCGGUGGAGGCGCUGGUGGGAUACCGCCCUGACUGUAUUGAAAUUCUAACCUACGGGUCUUAUCGACCCGGGAGACAGUGUCAGGUGGGCAGUUUGACUGGGGCGGUCGCCUCCUAAAGUGUAACGGAGGCGCCCAAAGGUUCCCUCAGAUGGUUGGAAUCAUUCGUAGAGUGCAAAGGCAUAAGGGAGCUUGACUGCGAGACCUACAAGUCGAGCAGGGACGAAAGUCGGGCUUAGUGAUCCGGUGGUUCCGCAUGGAAGGGCCAUCGCUCAACGGAUAAAAGCUACCCCGGGGAUAACAGGCUUAUCUCCCCCAAGAGUCCACAUCGACGGGGAGGUUUGGCACCUCGAUGUCGGCUCAUCGCAUCCUGGGGCUGUAGUCGGUCCCAAGGGUUGGGCUGUUCGCCCAUUAAAGCGGUACGCGAGCUGGGUUCAGAACGUCGUGAGACAGUUCGGUCCCUAUCCGUCGUGGGCGUAGGAAAUUUGAGAGGAGCUGUCCUUAGUACGAGAGGACCGGGAUGGACGCACCGCUGGUGUACCAGUUGUUCUGCCAAGGGCAUAGCUGGGUAGCUAUGUGCGGAAGGGAUAAGUGCUGAAAGCAUCUAAGCAUGAAGCCCCCCUCAAGAUGAGAUUUCCCAUAGCGUAAGCUAGUAAGAUCCCUGAAAGAUGAUCAGGUUGAUAGGUUCGAGGUGGAAGCAUGGUGACAUGUGGAGCUGACGAAUACUAAUAGAUCGAGGACUUAACCAU
rnacentral:rRNA from 1 species